AUUCCAGCUCUGUAAGCGUAUACCAAAGUUGUUGCAGUUAAAACGCUCGUAGUCGAACCUUGGCGUGAGUUACGGAGGCUCCUAAUGGACGUCGAAGUAACUCCGCCUUUGUGGAGGGGGGUGUGGUGUUACUUCAUUGUAUUGCCGCAUUUCCGCCACUGUUUACUGUGAAAAAAUUAGAGUGUUCAAAGCGAGCGUUUGCCAUGAAUACAUUAGCAUGGAAUAAUAGAAUAGGACCUGGUCCUGUUUUAUUGGUUUGUCAGUAUCAGGUAAUGAUUAACAGGGACGGUCGGGGGCAUUUGUAUUCCAGCGUUAGAGGUGAAAUUCUUGGAUCGCUGGAAGACAAACAGCUGCGAAAGCGUCUGCCAAGGACGUUUUCAUUA
rnacentral:rRNA from 1 species